GCUUCCAUGGUGUAAUGGUUAGCACUCUGGACUCUGAAUCCAGCGAUCCGAGUUCAAAUGUUGGUGGGACCU
rnacentral:tRNA from 1 species